rnacentral:lncRNA from 1 species
GGCCCUCUAAUGCUACACCGAGAACAAUAUUUUCCUCCAAGGCAGAUCUUUUGAUUGGUGGCUGAGAGACUGGCAGCUUCUCAUCUUCCUGCUUUGAUUGGAAGGGUUCUCGUAAUCCUCCUGCUUUGUCAAUACCAGUUUCCUGCAAGGUCAAUGAAGGGUUCUCCGACUCGCUGCUCUGUGUGGCAUUUUUCUGUUGCUUGUCAGUGACCUUGUUUUUUAGCAGAUUAUCUGAGAUUGAAUCUGGAACUUUUGGGCUGGAACUAGAUGUUUCUGCAGCUUUAG